rnacentral:rRNA from 1 species
CCUACGGGAGGCAGCAGUGAGGAAUAUUGGUCAAUGGACGAGAGUCUGAACCAGCCAAGUAGCGUGAAGGAUGACUGCCCUAUGGGUUGUAAACUUCUUUUAUCUGGGAAUAAAAUGUUCCACGUGUGGGACUUUGUAUGUACCAUAUGAAUAAGGAUCGGCUAACUCCGUUCCAGCAGCCGCGGUAAACCGGAGGAUCCGAGCGUUAUCCGGAUUUAUUGGGUGUAAAGGGAGCGUAGGUGGAUUGUUAAGUCAGUUGUGAAAGUUUGCGGCUCAACCGGAAAAUUGCAGUUGAGACUGGCAGGCUUGAGUACAGUAGAGGUGGGCGGAAUUCGUGGUGUAGCAGUGAAAUGCUUAGAUAUCACGAAGAACUCCGAUGGCGAAGGCAGUUCACUGGACUGCAACUGACACUGAGGCUCGAAAGUGUGGGUAUCAAACAGGAUUAGAUACCCUAGUAGUC